AUUCCCUACGGGACGCAGCAGUGGGGAAUAUUGCACAAUGGGGGAAACCCUGAUGCAGCAACGCCGCGUGAGUGAAGGAGUAUUUCGGUAUGUAAAGCUCUAUCAGCAGGGAAGAGAAUGACGGUACCUGACUAAGAAGCCCCGGCUAACUACGUGCCAGCAGCCGCGGUAAUACGUAGGGGGCGAGCGUUAUCCGGAUUUACUGGGUGUAAAGGGAGCGUAGACGGUUCUGCAAGUCUGAAGUGAAAAUCCGGGGCCCAACCCCGGAAGUGCAUUGGAAACUGUAUUUCUAGAGUGUCGGAGAG
rnacentral:rRNA from 1 species